rnacentral:rRNA from 1 species
AACGCGAAGAACCUUACCCAGGCUCGAAAUGUAGAGGGCGAUACUAGAGAUAGUAUUUUCCGUAAGGACUUCUAUAUAGGUGCUGCAUGGCUGUCGUCAGCUCGUGCCGUGAGGUGUUGGGUUAAGUCCCGCAACGAGCGCAACCCUUAUCAUUAGUUGCCAACACGUAAUGGUGGGAACUCUAAUGAGACUGCCUAGGUUAACUAGGAGGAAGGUGAGGAUGACGUCAAGUCCGCAUGGCCUUUAUGUCUGGGGCUACACACGUGCUACAAUGGUCGGUACAGAAGGCAGCAAAGCCGUAAGGUGGAGCAAAUCCGUUAAAGCCGACCUCAGUUCAGAUUGUGGUCUGCAACUCGACCACAUGAAGUUGGAAUUGCUAGUAAUGACGAGUCAGCAACAUCGUCGUGAAUACGUUCCCGGGCCUUGUACACACCGAUACUC